GACGAACGCUGGCGGCGUGCCUAAUACAUGCAAGUAGAACGCACAGUUUAUGCCGUAGCUUGCUACACCAUAGACUGUGAGUUGCGAACGGGUGAGUAACGCGUAGGUAACCUGCCUGGUAGCGGGGGAUAACUAUUGGAAACGAUAGCUAAUACCGCAUAAUAUUAAUUAUUGCAUGAUAAUUGAUUGAAAGAUGCAACUGCAUCACUACCAGAUGGCCCUGCGUUGUAUUAGCUAGUAGGGGAGGUAACGGCUCACCUAGGCGACGAUACAUAGCCGACCUGAGAGGGUGAGCGGCCACACUGGGACUGAGACACGGCCCAGACUCCUACGGGAGGCAGCAGUAGGGAAUCUUCGGCAAUGGACGAAAGUCUGACCGAGCAACGCCGCGUGAGUGAAGAAGGUUUUCGGAUCGUAAAGCUCUGUUGUAAGAGAAGAACGGGUGUGAGAGUGGAAAGUUCACACUGUGACGGUAUCUUACCAGAAAGGGACGGCUAACUACGUG
rnacentral:rRNA from 1 species